AAAAACUCCGGUGGUAUACGAUGGAUCCGCGUCUGAUUAGCUUGUUGGCGGGGUAAAGGCCCACCAAGGCGACGAUCAGUAGCCGGCCUGAGAGGGUGAACGGCCACAUUGGGACUGAGACACGGCCCAAACUCCUACGGGAGGCAGCAGUGGGGAAUAUUGCACAAUGGGGGAAACCCUGAUGCAGCGACGCCGCGUGAGUGAAGAAGUAUUUCGGUAUGUAAAGCUCUAUCAGCAGGGAAGAAAAUGACGGUACCUGACUAAGAAGCCCCGGCUAACUACGUGCCAGCAGCCGCGGUAAUACGUAGGGGGCAAGCGUUAUCCGGAUUUACUGGGUGUAAAGGGAGCGUAGACGGCAGCGCAAGUCUGGAGUGAAAUCCCAUGGCUUAACCAUGGAACUGCUUUGGAAACUGUGCAGCUAGAGUGCAGGAGAGGUAAGCGGAAUUCCUAGUGUAGCGGUGAAAUGCGUAGAUAUUAGGAGGAACACCAGUGGCGAAGGCGGCUUACUGGACUGUAACUGACGUUGAGGCUCGAAAGCGUGGGGAGCAAACAGGAUUAGAUACCCUGGUAGUCCACGCUGUAA
rnacentral:rRNA from 1 species